rnacentral:rRNA from 1 species
AGUGAACGCUGGCGGUAGGCCUAACACAUGCAAGUCGAACGGCAGCACAGUAAGAGCUUGCUCUUACGGGUGGCGAGUGGCGGACGGGUGAGGAAUACAUCGGAAUCUACUUUUUCGUGGGGGAUAGCGUAGGGAAACUUACGCUAAUACCGCAUACGACCUACGGGUGAAAGCAGGGGAUCUUCGGACCUUGCGCGAUUGAAUGAGCCGAUGUCGGAUUAGCUAGUUGGCGGGGUAAAGGCCCACCAAGGCGACGAUCCGUAGCUGGUCUGAGAGGAUGAUCAGCCACACUGGAACUGAGACACGGUCCAGACUCCUACGGGAGGCAGCAGUGGGGAAUAUUGGACAAUGGGCGCAAGCCUGAUCCAGCCAUACCGCGUGGGUGAAGAAGGCCUUCGGGUUGUAAAGCCCUUUUGUUGGGAAAGAAAAGCAGCAGGUUAAUACCCCGCUGUUCUGACGGUACCCAAAGAAUAAGCACCGGCUAACUUCGCG